AUUGAACGCUGGCGGCAGGCCUAACACAUGCAAGUCGAACGAGUGGCGGACGGGUGAGUAAUGUCUGGGAAACUGCCCGAGGGAGGGGGAUAACUACUGGAAACGGUAGCUAAUACCGCAUACCAUCGGAUGUGCCCAGAUGGGAUUAGCUAGUAGGUGAGGUAACGGCUCACCUAGGCGCCGAUCCCUAGCUGGUCUGAGAGGAUGACCAGCCACCCGGGCACUGAGACACGGUCCAUACUCCUACGGGAGGCAUCAGUGGGGAAUAUUGCACAAUGGGCGCAAGCCUGAUGCAGCCAUGCCGCGUGUAUGACGAAGGCCUUCGUGUUGUAAAGUACUUUCAGCGAGGAGGCGUUACUCGCAGAAGAAGCACCGGCUAACGCCGUGCCAGCAGCCGCGGUAAUUC
rnacentral:rRNA from 1 species